rnacentral:rRNA from 1 species
CCCUUAGAUGUUCUGGGCCGCACGCGCGCUACACUGAACAGUUCAACAAGUCUUAACCUUGGCCGGUAGGUCUGGGUAAUCUUUGAACGCUGUUCGUGAUUGGGAUAGACCUUUGCAAUUAUGGGUCUUCAACGAGGAAUUCCUAGUAAACGCAAGUCAUCAGCUUGCAUUGAUUACGUCCCUGCCCUUUGUACACACCGCCCGUCGCACCUACCGAUUGAAUGGUCCGGUGAAAUCUCGGGACGGCGGCUUGGUCGCUUGCGUCCGACUGCUGAAACUUGAUUAAACCAUAUCAUUUAGAGGAAGGUGAAGUCGUAACA